GCUCCAAUAGCGUAUAUUAAAGUUGUUGCAGUUAAAAAGCUCGUAGUUGGACUUCUGACAACAGUGCCGGUCCGCCUUCAUUGGUGUGUACUAGUGCAUCUGUCGUCAUCCUUGUGGAGAACACUUGCCAUUAACUUGGUUGAGUGGGAUCUGCAUCAUUUACUGUGAAAAAAUUAGAGUGUUUAAAGCAGGCAAUCGCU
rnacentral:rRNA from 1 species